UGCAAGUCGGACGAUCCCUUUGAAUUACUUGAGACUUCGGUUGAUUGUUUUUCUUUCUGGGAUAGUGGCAAACGGGUGAGUAACAUGUGGAUUACCUGCCUUGAAGUCGAGAAUAGCUCAUCGAAAGAUGGGGUAAUACUCGAUAGUCUUACAUUCUUUUAGAUUUGUAAGUAAAGUUUUAACGCUUCAAGAGGGGUCCGCAUCCUAUCAGCUUGUUGGUGAGGUAAUAGCUCACCAAGGCUAAGACGGGUAGCUGGCGUGAGAGCGCGGUCAGCCACCGUGGAACUGAGAUACGGUCCACACUCCUACGGGAGGCAGCAAUUAGGAAUCUUGCGCAAUGGGGGCAACCCUGACGCAGCGACACAGUGUGGAGGAGGAAGGUCUUCGGAUUGUAAACUCCUUUUAUGAGGGAAGAAUAGAUGACGGUACCUCAUGAAUAAGCACCUGCUAACUACGUGCCAGAGGCAUCGGUGAUGCGUAGGGUGCGAACGUUAUCCGGAUUUAUUGGGCGUAUAGAGAAGCAUAGGUGUUUCUGUAAGUCUUUAGUUAAAGACCACGGCUCAACCGUGGAGAAGCUUUGGAAACUACAGGAAUAGAGACAGGAAUGGGCGAAUGGAAUUCCCAGUGGAGCGGUGAAAUGCGUUGAUAUUGGGAGGAACAUCAGUGGCGAAGGCGAUUCGCUGGUCCUUGUCUGACACUAAGGCUCGAAAGCGUGGGUAGCGAAACGGAUUAGAUACCCGUGUAGUCCACGCCGUAAACUAUGGACGCUAGGUGUUCGGUACAACUACUCAAUCCUUCGGGAUUGAAUGGAAGUAUUGAGUACUGCAGCUAACGCGUUAAGCGUCCCGCCUGGGAAGUACGGCCGCAAGGCUAA
rnacentral:rRNA from 1 species